CCCCCCUGCGCCCGGGCGGGCCGGGGACCCUCAGAGGCGAGCCGGCUGCCUCGGGUCACACAUCCGCGAACUCCGGGGCGGGCUCCCCAGGACGCCGCCGCCCCCCACGACCCCCAGCCCUCCCGCUUCCGUGGAAAGCCGCCCCGACGACCCCCGUGCGGGUUGUUGAGGGGCCGUCCUCCGCCGACCGCUGUGGGAACAGCUCCGCGCGUGCGGCGGGACGCGGCGAGUCAGCGGCAGGAAGAGCGCACGGCACACGGGAACACAGCAACUAGACUGGGAGCAGCAGGGCUUGCAGCAGCUGGACUGGCAGCAGGAUGACCCACAGCCUGAGGAGCAGCAGCAGGGCUUACAGCAACUGCACUGGGAGCAGGAUGGCCCACAGCCUCCCUUAGAGCCACCACAAGAGCCACAGCUGGAGCAGGAACAGGCUGGGAUACAGCAACACACAGGCUUGCAGCAGCAGACGGGCACACAGCAGCCAGAGCCACAGCCCCCACAGCCGGAGCCACAGCCUCCAGAGCAGCCACAGCAGCCCAUGGUUCUGGUGGAUCGAGGGUGGAGCAGGCAGAGGAGCAGAUGGAGACAACAGGAAGGAAGGAGGUCUUCCUGGUUACAGGUGGCCACAGGAGAAUAGGCAGCGGCCCAGGAGGAUCCAGGGUCCCAAUGGUGGUUGAGAAGCUGGUUUUUAGUGAUCACUCAGGAAUGUCGACCUGGCCUUGUGGGGUCAGACUUUGCAUCUCAGUCAUCCCAGGGAGAAGAAGAAGAUGGUCCACACCCAAGUGCAGGGAACACCGUGGCAGUCGGUUGGGCACCCGCUUCCAGGCAAGGACACCUCCUGCAUCAAGGAAACACGUGUUUCCGGAGUGAGGAGGCUGAAGGCGGGGCCCAGAGGAGAGCCGAGCCAUGGAAGGAGGAGAAACCUGAAGGUCUGGGUCCAGAGCCUCAGAUCUUGCACUGGCAGCACAUGGGGACACAGCAGGUGGACUGGCAGCAGCAGGGUUUGCAGCAACUGGACUGGCAGCAGGAUGACCCACAGCCUGAGGAGCAGCAGCAGGGCUUACAGCAACUGCACUGGGAGCAACCACAAGAGCCACAGCCCCCCUUGGAGCCCCCACAAGAGCCACAGCUGGGGCAGGAACAGGCUGGCACAAAGCAGCACACGGGCUUGCAGCAGCAGACGGGCACACAGCAGCCGGAGCCAGAGCCCCCACAGCUGGAGUCACAGCCUCCAGAGCAGCCACAGCAGCCCAUGGUUCAGGUGGGUUGAGGCUGGAGUGGGUGGAGGAGCAGGUGAGAAGGAGGUGCAGGUGUGGAGCCCCCUGAGCCCGGGCCCUUUAUACCCCACAUAGGAGCACACCAUCGUCUCUGUCUCUUUCCGGUUGCUGUUUACACAGCUCCUGGAGGUAUGUCUUGAUGGUUUUACUUUGGCUAUGUUGACAUUUUCUGGAUCCAAGUAUGAGCUCUUCCUCCUGAGAUUAUUUCCUUGUGGAAUUCAUACUGGAAGGAAAAACAGCUCCAACGCUGGCUCACCUCAGGAGGAAGUGCAGCCUCCUCAAGGGCUUAGGCUCUGUCCCAGCUCCUGACUCUGACUCUCCGUGGGCCUUUGAGCAGAUCCAAUCAACCUUGGAGCCCCAGCUUUCUCUCCUGCAGAGGGGAGCUAGCAGCACCAGCCUCUGGGGGUUGCAUGAGAAUUACCUGAGAUUAUUCAUGUAUUGCAUCUUUUGCAAUGCCCCAACUCCCCAUCCCUCACCCUCAGGCAGGGUUCCAUCUUGGCAGGACUGGAUCAAUGUUGCAGAUUUCUGAUGUUCGACGCUGUGAGACACCCUCCCAGCCCCCAGAGCAGUGCCGCUGUCUACCUGAUUCCUGCUGGUGCCCCCAGGGAUGUGGUAUCUUCUUUGUGGCAACUAUGGCUGAGGAUGGCAGGGUUCUCAGCAUUGGGGAAGGAAUACAUCCUCUGUUUACCUCCUCCCUGUUUCUGGACCAGUCUCUGUGGGCAGGGCAAUGGGCUCUGUGAUUACAGAAGGGAAGUUCACACAGCACGGUCCUUGGGGACAUGUGAGAAGAGCUUCCCACUGCUUUGGAACUAUUGUGUGGACAGGUUCUUCUCUUGGAGGAAAACAAAGCUUGGAGCAGAACUUGAGGAAUGGGGGAGGGACCAUGAUGGGUACAAACAGCAACCAAGGGGCAGGAAGGAUACUCCAGCCAGGAGGCAGGGCACUAGCGAUGGUGAGGAGGCUGCAGGUGCAGGAACCCGUCAGUAUGGUCCACACUCAGAUGUGGCUCAAAUGUGUGAAGAGUGGAUGUGCAGGCUUACAACCUUCCAGUGUGCCUCGGCCGACAUGGGGUGAAACCCAAACCCCUGACACUGGCCCAUCCACCUCUCCAGCUGGAUUUGACCAUGGCCUUGGCCACCCAUCGUUCCAGAACCAAUCAGCCCAAAGCUCAGUGGAUCAGGAGUUCAGGUCUGGCCCUGGAUGGUGGAACAGGCUGCACGAUGCGUGGGGUCUCAGCUGGGAAGGUACCAAUGGCUAACGAUGGCAGCAUGGCUUGGCUGGGCUGUAUUUUGGGACCUCAGAUCUGGCCGUCUGCAGGGUUCCCUGGUUUUUCUCUCAAUUGUGUCAGCGGGGGCUGGCUUGUCGAAGACGCUGUGUUCACACGCCUGUGGGAUCGCUACAACAGGUGAGGCUGGACAGAUCUCCCUCCCUCCCCACCUCACGGCCUCUUCCCACGGCUGGCUGGGGCUUCCUCACAGCACGGUGGGCUCAGGGCAGCUGUACUUCCUACGAGGUCACUGGAGCAGAGGCCGGAAGGUACCUUAUGACCCAGCCUAGGAAUCGUAGAGUAUUUAUCUCUCCUCAGGUCACUAAGGCCAGCCCAGAUUGUGGAGAGAAGAGAAAAUCCACCUCUCCACGGGAGGAGAAUGACUUGGCAUCAUCUUCAAACUGCCUCAAUCAUUCUUCAUCCAGCCCUGGAUUGGUGCCCGGGACACACCGUGCUCCUCCUUACUCACGUCCUGUGUGCUGGCGGUUCCUACACGGAACAGACUCGCCCAGGACCACCCUGGACUGCGUCCCUCCUGUCUGUCCAGCUCAGAUCCACCUCUGAGACCCCAUCCCGAGAUAGCCACCCCCGCCACCUCGCAUUCUCUGCUUCAUUAUUGAUUCCCACGAUGCCAAACUGGAUCCGCUCUCCCCCUUGUUUGUUCUUGGAGGUGUGUGUCCCACCUCGGGAGUGUGAGCUCUGCAGGGGCAGCGGCUUUAUCCCGCAUGCAGCCAUGCAGCUCUGUCACCCACACCUGGACACACUCCAUAAUCGUCAUUGAGAGAGGGAGUUGUCAACUGAAGGAGGACGAGGUCAUCAAUUUGGAAAGGAGCACUUUGCUUCUCACAGCGCUGCGGGCUGAGUGUGGCUGUUCUGACCGGCUGGGAGGCACAGCCUCUGGUAGGAAGCUGGAAACAGACACUUCCAGGGAGGGAAGACUAAGGCAGAGAUCUACACUGAGCGGGGGUGGCUGAAUAUGCAUAUUCAAUAAGCUGUGGGAGGGGCAUGAACAUUGAUGAGAGGAGAAACCAGGCGUAUGCACAAUUGAGCUUCACAUCUCUCCAUGUGCAAAAACCAGAGGAGUUAACCUGAUCUGAGGGUGGAGUUUUGGGCCCUCUGAUGUCAAAAGGUGAAGCAGCGGACUCGGAAGCCCUCCCUGCGCCUCUUCCCUGGAAUGGCCAGGGCCUCCCCAUGGGGGUCUCCUAUCAGGAAGAAGAGAGGGGCAAUGUCUGGGGUUCACUGAUCUCAGCGGCGCAGUCUCCACAGGUUAGACUCCUGCUUUCCCUGAGGUGAGUGUCAAGCCCCGGAGCGCAAGCUAAGCCAUCGUAUCCCCUGUGACCUGCAUGUACAUAUCCAGAUGGCCUGAAGCAAGUGAAGAAUCACAAGAGAAGUGAAAAUGGCCGGUUUCUGCCUUAACUGGUGACGUUCCACCAUUGUGAUUUGUUCCUGCCCCACCUUAAUUGGGAGAUUAACCUUGUGAAAUUCCUUCUCCUGGCUCAGAAACUCCCCCACUGAGCACCUUGUGACCCCCACCCCUGCCUGCAAGAGAAAAACCCCCUUUGAUUGUAAUAUUCCACGACCCACCAAAAUCCUCUAAAACUGCCCCACCCCAUCUCUCUUCGCUGGCUCUCUUUUCGGACUCAGCCCGCCUGCACCCAGGUGAUUAAAAAGCGUUAUUGCUCACACAAAGCCUGUUUGGUGGUCUCUUCACACCGACACGG
rnacentral:lncRNA from 1 species